UGACCUCAAAUCAGGUAGGAUUACCCGCUGAACUUAAGCAUAU
rnacentral:rRNA from 1 species